rnacentral:rRNA from 1 species
GUGGGAAUAUUGCACAAUGGGCGAAAGCCUGAUGCAGCGACGCCGCGUGAGCGAUGAAGUAUUUCGGUACGUAAAGCUCUAUCAGCAGGGAAGAUAAUGACGGUACCUGACUAAGAAGCACCGGCUAAAUACGUGCCAGCAGCCGCGGUAAUACGUAUGGUGCAAGCGUUAUCCGGAUUUACUGGGUGUAAAGGGAGCGUAGGCGGCGUGGUAAGUCAGAAGUGAAAGCCCGGGGCUCAACCCCGGGACUGCUUUUGAAACUAUCAUGCUAGAGUGUCGGAGAGGUAAGUGGAAUUCCUAGUGUAGCGGUGAAAUGCGUAGAUAUUAGGAGGAACACCAGUGGCGAAGGCGGCUUACUGGACGAUAACUGACGCUGAGGCUCGAAAGCGUGGGGAGCAAACAGGAUUAGAAACCCCAGUAGUCC